UACGUAGGGCGCAAGCGUUGUCCGGAAUUAUUGGGCGUAAAGAGCUCGUAGGCGGUUUGUCGCGUCUGCUGUGAAAAACCUAAGGCUCAACCUUGGGCUUGCAGUGGGUACGGGCAGACUAGAGUGCGGUAGGGGUGACUGGAAUUCCUGGUGUAGCGGUGGAAUGCGCAGAUAUCAGGGAGGAACACCGAUGGCGAAAGGCAG
rnacentral:rRNA from 1 species